rnacentral:tRNA from 1 species
ACUUAAAUAGUUUAAUAAAAAAAUUCUAAUUUGUGGAUUUAGAGAUGUAGCUUUACUUUAAGUA